rnacentral:lncRNA from 1 species
UGUUCAUUUAAAUAACUUCGCUUCUGUCAUGUAUCAGGAGUUGACUUUUGUUCUUCUGUCCCAGGCGUUCUGGCUCCUCGCCAAGGGCGCACGCGCUGACAGCCGCCACUAAUGCCGGUGAUAAUGCAGAUAGUCGAGAUGAAACGGGACAGGUCCUUGCGAGAGCCUCAUUAGCCAGGCUUCCAUCAGCUUAAUAUUUUGGCUGAAAAGAGGAUAUGACCAUGAACUGAGAGGGAGAGGAGAGGGGGGGAAAUCAGAACAACAAAACAACAAGAAAGCAGAAAGAAAGACCAAAAGAACAAGCGUUUUUGAUAAAGUGCUUACAGAGCGAUUACUGUGAGUUGUGCAGAGAUGGUGCAGUGCUCACACAGGGCGAGGAAGCAUGGCAAAGACAUGUGCUCAUCUACCAUUGUAAAAACUGGAAGAUGAUAUUCAUACAAUUCAUUUGAUUUUGGAGAACUGAACAAAAACAACUUAAUAUGAUGUAUGCUGAUAUAAAAACAAUAUCUAAAUUAAAACCAUCUUUUAUAAUGC